rnacentral:sRNA from 1 species
AAAUAAACCCGAUAGCAGUUAAAUUAGACUGUCAUGCUGAGCGUAGUCGAAGCACAGGCUAAUUUAACGAAAAGCGGGACUGAAA